rnacentral:rRNA from 1 species
UGGGGAAUUUUGGACAAUGGGCGCAAGCCUGAUCCAGCCAUGCCGCGUGCGGGAGGAAGGCCUUCGGGUUGUAAACCGCUUUUGUCAGGGAAGAAAUCUUCUGAGUUAAUACCUCGGGAGGAUGACGGUACCUGAAGAAUAAGCACCGGCUAACUACGUGCCAGCAGCCGCGGUAAUACGUAGGGUGCAAGCGUUAAUCGGAAUUACUGGGCGUAAAGCGUGCGCAGGCGGUUUUGUAAGACAGAGGUGAAAUCCCCGGGCUCAACCUGGGAACUGCCUUUGUGACUGCAAGGCUUGAGUGCGGCAGAGGGGGAUGGAAUUCCGCGUGUAGCAGUGAAAUGCGUAGAUAUGCGGAGGAACACCGAUGGCGAAGGCAAUCCCCUGGGGCCUGCACUGACGCUCAUGCACGAAAGCGUGGGGAGCAAACAGGAUUAGAUACCCUGGUAGUCCACGCCCUAAACGAUGUCAACUGGUUGUUGGGAAGGUUCCUUCUCAGUAACGUAGCUAACGCGUGAAGUUGACCGCCUGGGGAGUACGGCCGCAAGGUUGAAACUCAAAUGAAUUGACGGGGUCA